CCGACUUUAGAUCAGUUGGUAGAGCGGAGUACUGUAGUGGGAUUGAUAGUGUCAAUAAAAUCCUUAGGUCGCUGGUUCGAAUCCGGCAGGUCGGA
rnacentral:tRNA from 1 species